CGUGAAAUUGGUGAAAGGGAAGCGUUUAUGACCAGACUUUGACUUGGUUAAUCAUCUGGGGUUCUCCCCAGUGCACUUUUCCAGUUCAGGCCAGCAUCAGUUUUCCCCGGGGGAUAAAGGCGGCGGGAAUGUGGCUCUCUUCGGGGAGUGUUAUAGCCCGCCGUGUAAUACCCUGGGGGGGACUGAUGUUCGCGCAUCUUCAAGGAUGCUGGCGUAAUGGUCAUCAACGACCCGUCUUGAAACACGG
rnacentral:rRNA from 1 species